rnacentral:rRNA from 1 species
UACAGCGGGUGCGAGCGUUGUCCGGAAUCACUGGGCGUAAAGGGCGCGUAGGUGGCGCGACAAGUCAGUGGUGAAAGCUCGACGCUCAACGUCGAGUCGGCCACUGAUACUGUUGGGCUUGAGCACUGUAGAGGCUAAUGGAAUUCCGGGUGUAGCGGUGGAAUGCGUAGAGAUCCGGAAGAACACCGGUGGCGAAGGCGAUUAGCUGGGCAGUUGCUGACACUGAGGCGCGACAGCGUGGGGAGCAAACAGG